UACGUAGGGUCCGAGCGUUGUCCGGAAUUAUUGGGCGUAAAGGGCUCGUAGGCGGUUUGUCGCGUCGGGAGUGAAAACACGGGGCUUAACCCCGUGCCUGCUUCCGAUAUGGGCAGACUAGAGGUAUGCAGGGGAGAACGGAAUUCCUGGUGUAGCGGUGAAAUGCGCAGAUAUCAGGAGGAACACCGGUGGCGAAAGCAGCUUUCUGGGACGGUACUGACGCUGAGACGCGAAAGCGUGGGGAGCGAACAGG
rnacentral:rRNA from 1 species